CCUACGGGAGGCAGCAGUGAGGAAUAUUGGUCAAUGGACGAGAGUCUGAACCAGCCAAGUAGCGUGAAGGAUGACUGCCCUAUGGGUUGUAAACUUCUUUUAUAAAGGAAUAAAACGAGGCACGUGUGCCUUUUUGCAUGUACUUUAUGAAUAAGGAUCGGCUAACUCCGUGCCAGCAGCCGCGGUAAUACGGAGGAUCCGAGCGUUAUCCGGAUUUAUUGGGUUUAAAGGGAGCGUAGAUGGGUUGUUAAGUCAGUUGUGAAAGUUUGCGGCUCAACCGUAAAAUUGCAAUUGAUACUGGCAGUCUAGAGUACAGUUGAGGUAGGCGGAAUUCGUGGUGUAGCGGUGAAAUGCUUAGAUAUCACGAAGAACCCCGAUGGCGAAGGCAGCUUACUAAACUGUGACUGACAUUGAUGCUCGAAAGUGUGGGUAUCAAACAGGAUUAGAUACCCGGGUAGUC
rnacentral:rRNA from 1 species